rnacentral:lncRNA from 1 species
CUAAUUUGGGGAAGAAAUUGUUUGAAGAGAAGAAACCCUAAGAGUUGCACCUUUAGGAUUAUGUAUUGGAAUUUUAGUUUAUAAAUUGAAAUUUUAGGAUAUGACUUGAACUUUUGUGGAUAUGAGUUGAACCUUUAGGAUAUGAAUUGAAAUUUUAAUUUAUGUAUUGAAAUUUUAGUUUAUAAUUUGGAAUUUUAAGAUUUGACUUGAAAUUUUGUGGAUAUGAGUUGAACCUUUAGGAUAUGAAUUGAAAUUUUCGUUUAUGUAUUGGAAUUUUAGUUUAUAAAUUUAAAUUUUAGGAUAAGACUUGAACUUUUGUGGAUAUGAGUUGAACCUUUAGGAUAUGAAUUAAAUUUUUGGUUUCUGUAUUGGAAUUUUAGUUUAUAAAUUGAAAUUUUAGGAUUUGACUUGAACUUUUGUGGAUAUGAGUUGAACCUUUAGGAUAUGAAUUGAAAUUUUGGUUUAUGUCUUAGAAUUUUAGUAUAUAAAUUGAAGUUUUAGAAUUUGACUUGAACUUUUGUGGAUAUGAGUUGAACCUUUAGGAUAUGAAUUUAAAUUUUGGUUUAUGUCUUAGAAUUUUAGUUUAUAAAUUGAAGUUUUAGAAUUUGACUUGAACUUUUGUGGAUAUGAGUUUAACCUUUAGGAUAUGAAUUGAAAUUUUGGUUUAUGUAUUGGAAUUUUAGUUUAUAAAUUGAAAUUUUAGGAUUUGACUUGAACUUUUGUGGAUAUGAGUUGCACCUUUAGGAUAUGAAUUGAAAUUUUGGCUUAUGUAUUGGAAUCCUAGUUUAUAAAUUGAAAUUUUAGGAUUUGACUUCAACUUUUGUGGAUAUGAGUUAAACCUUUAGGAUAUGAAUUGAAAUUUUGGUUUGUGUAUUGGAAUUUUAGUUUAUAAAUUGAAAUUUUAGGAUUUGACUUGAACUUUUGUGGAUAUGAAUUAACAUUUAGGAUAUGAAUUAAAAUUUUGUUUUAUGUAUUG